UCUAAAAAUUUUUUUUAAAAUGAUGAAUGAAAGUGGGGGGAUGUGGGGAAGGCCAAGAGGGGCAGGGAAGAGUCAGGACCACAUGGGGAAGAGGAGGUGUGAAUCAAAGCUGUCUGAGCAAUCUAAAGGGAACUUAGUUUGGAAAUGAACAAUAUUUCUUCUUGAUUCACAAUUUAGGUGAACUAGUUUGAUUCUGACAAAGGAAAAAAAGGAAAAAGCACUUGUUAAUGUUAACGGCCCUCUCACAGGCUCCUUUUCAUCUGUUCGGUAACUGGAAACUCUUUCCCACAUGGUCUCUAGAGCUUCUACAAAGAUACAACUAUGACUUUAUUGGUCUUCACUUCUUGGGUGUCUCUGUACAUAGAGCGCUGUCCAUGGUGUCUGCUCUGCUUUCAUCCCAAAUGCAGGCUUUAGCUUCUAAUACCUUUAGUUUGAUUUGUUUUUUUAAAUUCUUUUCUUUCCCCGAGAUGAAAUCUUAAUCUUUUGCACUAGACUGAUUAGCCAGGGAAAACAAAGCAAGAAACCAGUGUCUGGAACCAAACAGGAACAGAACAAGAGCAUGGUUGUUUUCCUUAGAUACAUACAUUUAAGUACAUUCAAUCUGACACGGGUAUGAAUUUGCCUGCCAACAUUUACUCCGCAGGAGAGAUCUAAAUUGCACUAAGGUGAAUGCAGUGAACAGACUGAGCAACUGUCUGGACGAGAGCUUCAGACUGUCAAGAGAGGAGGCAGGCUCCUCCUGACACAGCCAAGUGGACUCUACCCUGGGAGCCAGGGCCCAGGCCCAUCUGCUGACCUUGCUCUGGCAGAAAUGGCUGUCAGGUCGAUCGGGUCAAAACAAAUAGACGCGGCUCUCCAGGCUGCUAAGUGUUUGGAGCAAGUGAGCCCAGUCAGCUGAAGAGAGAAGCAACCAGCUACCUUCAGUGUCAGCAGUAUUUCUGCAGGAAAACAGAGAAAAUUGUGAAGUACCUCGGAAUUUUACUUCCUUAAUCGUUGCUCAAACCAUCUAGUACAAACCCACUUUCAACAAAAUGUCCCUCUUGACUGACUCUCCCUUAUGGAGAUACUCCCAAGGUUCCGUGGCCUGUCUUCCUGGCUUCAGCAAGUUAAGUAGCUGGGGCUUUGGCUCUUAGGGUACUCUUGCUAGUUUUUGGCUGGUCUGGUUUCACGACCGUCUGAGUGACUGAACGCUCAGGGCCGUGGUGAGCAAGACUCCUGUAGAGGUAUUCGCUGGGUUCGUGCGUGUCUCUGUCAGUGCUUUCCUUCGGUUACUGACUGUUUCCCCCCAAGAUAUUUUAUCCAUGUAGCAAAUAUUAAUUAUCGACUCUGUGAAAGGUGCUGGGGACACAACCAUAACAACGUAUUUCUGGUCACUGCUAUCAAAACACUGAGUGGGCCAGGUAGACAAUUAAAUAAAUGGCACGGUCUGAGUUACCCGAGACGAAAUACCGGUUGCUGUGGGGAUGUGUAACUGCUGCUGGGAUUUAGAUAGACACAGUUAGCACAUCAGGGCCACUAGAGAUGAUCUAGUUCAAACAAGAUGAGUGAGGAAGUUUCACCCAGUCCCUUAGAGAGACCCAGGGUGAACUGCUAGCGGGCACAGGCGGGCUCAUUCCUGGCCCAGCGCACAGCUCUCCCAAGCUUGACACGUCAGCCUGUGAGAAGAUCUCUGAUGAGUUCCUCUUAGAGAACGGUUCAUGUACUCUCUACUAUAAAGCUGACUUACAGCUUUAUUCCUAAUUUGUGUCACUUAUAUAAUUUAAUAUAGAAAUACUCCAUGGCUCCGACCGAAAUAUGAAAAAAAAUCCUUCAAUUUUCCAGUUAGUCUAGAAAAACUAAUUCUAUUGAGAAGUAUUCAUAUCCUUAGCAACUUGAAGGCAGUAUUCUUUUUUUUUUUUUCAAUAUUUUAUUAUUCAUGAGAGACAGAGAGAGGCAGAGGGAGAAGCAGGCCUCCAUGCAGGAGCCUGAUAUGGGACUUGAUCCAGCAGCUCCAGAGGCAAAGGCAGAUGCUCAACCGCUGAGCCACCCAGGCGUCCCAAAGGCAGUGUUAACGCAAAUGGGCAUCAAUACGCAGCUAUACCCAGAUCAGUGUACUGAAAGAACACUGACGAUGACAUGCAUCUCUAGAGGAACACUGCUUGGCCUGGCAUCCAGUUGUGUCACUUUGAGGGGGUGGGGAGUCACUUAGUCUUCUGUCCCUAAUACUUCCUAGGGUUGUCAUGAGGAUUAAACAAAAUGAUGUACAUGAAAUGUUUAAGUACUUCCCGCAACACGGAAAGUGCUUAAUGAAUGUUCUCACCACCAUUAUGAUCACCACCUCAGAGCCGGUCCCAGUUAAUGAUGGAUUUCCAGAACACUAGCAAAUGCAAGUAAUUACAGCUAUACUUUAUACAGGAGCUAUGCAGCUGCCCAAUAAACUUGAUUUUGGUAUGUUUAAGUAUAUGAAAAAUGUAGAGGAAUACUGUAAGUCCUUGUAAAACGAAGGCUCUUUAGUUAUAUAAAAUAACUGCCUUUCUCUAAAUGGUGUUUUGGUGAAUCCACAGUUGUAUAUUCUAGCUCUGCUUUAAGCAAGGUACAAUUUUAAUCUCCGUUUCAAGAUAAGUGGAACACAGAUUCAAUUAAGAAUGAAUCAUAGUGGUUUCCAGCUCAACAAAUAGAACCAAGUUACCAAUAAAAAUUCUGAAAACAGGUUCUUGAAUCACAACAGCAGCAGGACAUAUUACAGAAACACAAGAGGACAAAGAUGACUGGAUCCCCUUCUGUACACACAUCAGUAGUAUGGUGACAAGUACAAACUGACUGCCCGUUAUUACCCAUGGAUUAGAAGGGAUAUACUGUACAUUUUAUUCCCUGGAGGAAACAAGAGUAUCUGACAGACUGUUCUCUGGCCUUAACAUUCAGCACGAACAAAGUACAGAUGGGGAAGCAAGAUUCAAGAGGGGGACUGGGAAAAACAAAGUGGGAGGGGCGCAAAUGGCCCAGGCUAGAGGACAACCGGCAGAGGUUUCUCACCGUGGAUCCGGAAAGGCACCCAUGAAGAGCACACCUGCUGUGCCUGGAGGCGAUGCUGCAGCUGGAGCCUCAGCUGAUUUGGCUGGUUCUGCACGAGGCCGGUGGGCCUGAGGCCAGGUCUGGGCUGCAUGCGGAGUGUGGCAUAGCUAGGCCGCUGUCCCAUGGUAUGAAAGUUGGGAUCUUGCAUGGGAGGAUAGCUACCCUGCGCCAUCUGUGCCUGAGACGCAUACUGUUGCGGGAAAACUGCAGCCUUCUGCUCCAGCAUGAUGUUGGAGUCCUGACUUGAGAACUGUUCCGGAUCUACUGCUUGGCUCUGAAGAGAAAGCCCCCAGAUAACAAACAAACAAAUAAAUAAAACCACUAAAAACAGCAGAUUCUCAUACAAAGAACACUGCCGCAGCGUAACCAGAGUAACGGCAGAACAGGGGCGGCGCCCGGUCACAGAAGCUUGCCCAGCAAACGGGAGGCGCUUACUGUCUUCGGGCUCAGCACGAACUCCGGCCCUCUUCCAUCUUAACAGAAUGCUCACCUGCUUGGGCAACAGUGAAAAUCCUGACUUCGGGCCUAGUAUUCUCUAGGAACUAAUCUUUGACAUUUCAUUCAAAACAACUAUCAGGUGCUGGAUUUAAUUUCUGUGCUACAUUUUUAUGAUGUGCAAGUUUCCAUGGAAAUGGGUGGCUUUUCAACAUAUCAAAUAAACAGAUUUAGAAAAAACA